rnacentral:rRNA from 1 species
UAGGGAAUCUUGCGCAAUGGGCGAAAGCCUGACGCAGCCACGCCGCGUGAGGGAUGAAGGCUCUCGGGUUGUAAACCUCUUUCAGCAGGGACGAAAAUGACGGUACCUGCAGAAGAAGCUCCGGCCAACUACGUGCCAGCAGCCGCGGUAACACGUAGGGAGCAAGCGUUGUCCGGAAUUAUUGGGCGUAAAGAGCUCGUAGGCGGUUUAGUAAGUCAGGUGUGAAAACUCGAGGCUCAACCUCGAGAGGCCACCUGAUACUGCUGUGACUGGAGUCCGGUAGAGGAGUGUGGAAUUCCUGGUGUAGCGGUGAAAUGCGCAGAUAUCAGGAGGAACACCAACAGCGAAGGCAGCACUCUGGGCCGGUACUGACGCUGAGGAGCGAAAGCGUGGGGAGCGAACAGG